AAUACAUGCAAGUCGAGCGGACAGAUGGGAGCUUGCUCCCUGAUGUUAGCGGCGGACGGGUGAGUAACACGUGGGUAACCUGCCUGUAAGACUGGGAUAACUCCGGGAAACCGGGGCUAAUACCGGAUGGUUGUUUGAACCGCAUGGUUCAAACAUAAAAGGUGGCUUCGGCUACCACUUACAGAUGGACCCGCGGCGCAUUAGCUAGUUGGUGAGGUAAGGGCUCACCAAGGCAACGAUGCGUAGCCGACCUGAGAGGGUGAUCGGCCACACUGGGACUGACACACGGCCCAGACUCCUACGGGAGGCAGCAGUAGGGAAUCUUCCGCAAUGGACGAAAGUCUGACGGAGCAACGCCGCGUGAGUGAUGAAGGUUUUCGGAUCGUAAAGCUCUGUUGUUAGGGAAGAACAAGUACCGUUCGAAUAGGGCGGUACCUUGACGGUACCUAACCAGAAAGCCACGGCUAACUACGUGCCAGCAGCCGCGGUAAUACGUAGGUGGCAAGCGUUGUCCGGAAUUAUUGGGCGUAAAGGGCUCGCAGGCGGUUUCUUAAGUCUGAUGUGAAAGCCGCCGGCUCAACCGGGGAGGGUCAUUGUAAACUGGGGAACUUGAGUGCAGAAGAGGAGAGUGGAAUUCCACGUGUAGCGGUGAAAUGCGUAGAGAUGUGGAGGAACACCAGUGGCGAAGGCGACUCUCUGGUCUGUAACUGACGCUGAGGAGCGAAAGCGUGGGAGCGAACAGGAUUAGAUACCCUGGUAGUCCACGCCGUAACGAUGAGUGCUAAGUGUUAAGGGGUUUCCGCCCUUAGUGCUGCAGUUAACGCAUUAAGCACUCCGCCUGGGGAGUACGGUCGCAAGACUGAAACUCAAAGGAAUUGACGGGGGCCCGCACAAGCGGUGGAGCAUGUGGUUUAAUUCGAAGCAACGCGAAGAACCUUACCAGGUCUUGACAUCCUCUGACAAUCCUAGAGAUAGGACGUCCCCUUCGGGGGCAGAGUGACAGGUGGUACAUUGCUGCCAUCAGCUCGUGUCGUGAGAUGUUGGGUUAAGUCCCGCAACGAGCGCAACCCUUGAUCUUAGUUGCCAGCAUUCAGUUGGGCACUCUAAGG
rnacentral:rRNA from 1 species